rnacentral:rRNA from 1 species
UACAGAGGGUGCAAGCGUUAAUCGGAAUUACUGGGCGUAAAGCGCACGUAGGCGGCUUUGCAAGACAGAUGUGAAAUCCCCGGGCUCAACCUGGGAAUUGCAUUUGAAACUGGGAAACUAGAGUGUGUGAGAGGGGGGUAGAAUUCCAAGUGUAGCGGUGAAAUGCGUAGAGAUUUGGAGGAAUACCAGUGGCGAAGGCGGCCCCCUGGCACAACACUGACGCUCAGGUGCGAAAGCGUGGGGAGCAAACAGG